rnacentral:rRNA from 1 species
GAUGAACGCUGGCGGCGUGCCUAAUACAUGCAAGUCGAGCGAACGGACGAGAAGCUUGCUUCUCUGAUGUUAGCGGCGGACGGGUGAGUAACACGUGGAUAACCUACCUAUAAGACUGGGAUAACUUCGGGAAACCGGAGCUAAUACCGGAUGAUAUUUUGAACCGCAUUGUUCAAAAGUGAAAGACGGUCUUGCUGUCUCUUAUAGAUGGAUCUGCGCUGCAUUAGCUAGUUGGUAAGGUAACGGCUUACCAAGGCAACGAUGCAUAGCCGACCUGAGAGGGUGAUCGGCCACACUGGAACUGAGACACGGUCCAGACUCCUACGGGAGGCAGCAGUAGGCAAUCUUCCGCAAUGGGCGAAAGCCUGACGGAGCAACGCCGCGUGAGUGAUGAAGGUCUUCGGAUCGUAAAACUCUGUUAUUAGGGAAGAACAUAUGUGUAAGUAACUGUGCACAUCUUGACGGUACCUAAUCAGAAAGCCACGGCUAACUACGUG